ACAUGCCUACAACAUAGUGUUAAUUCAUCAGAUCCCAUUAGAAAUAUGCAGUUAAUCGUGCUUAGGCUAGGGUAGUACUGGGAUGGGUGAAUGCUCAGGACAUCCUAGUGUUUUACAUGCC
rnacentral:rRNA from 1 species